rnacentral:rRNA from 1 species
UGGGGAAUAUUGCACAAUGGGCGCAAGCCUGAUGCAGCCAUGCCGCGUGUAUGAAGAAGGCCUUCGGGUUGUAAAGUACUUUCAGCGGGGAGGAAGGGAGUAACGUUAAUACCUUUGCUCAUUUACGUUACCCGCAGAAGAAGCACCGGCUAACUCCGUGCCAGCAGCCGCGGUAAUACGGUGGGUGCAAGCGUUAAUCGGAAUUACUGGGCGUAAAGCGCACGCAGGCGGUUUGUUAAGUCAGAUGUGAAAUCCCCGGGCUCAACCUGGGAACUGCAUCUGAAACUGGCAAGCUUGAGUCUCGUAGAGGGGGGUAGAAUUCCAGGUGUAGCGGUGAAAUGCGUAGAGAUCUGGAGGAAUACCGGUGGCGAAGGCGGCCCCCUGGACGGAGACUGACACUCAGGUGCGAAAGCGUGGGGAGCAAACAGG